GACGAACGCUGGCGGCGUGCUUAACACAUGCAAGUCGAACGGAAAGGCCCUGCUUUUGUGGGGUGCUCGAGUGGCGAACGGGUGAGUAACACGUGAGUAACCUGCCCUUGACUUUGGGAUGACUUCAGGAAACUGGGGCUAAUACCGGAUAGGAGCUCCUGCUGCAUGGUGGGGGUUGGAAAGUUUCGGCGGUUGGGGAUGGACUCGCGGCUUAUCAGCUUGUUGGUGGGGUAGUGGCUUACCAAGGCUUUGACGGGUAGCCGGCCUGAGAGGGUGACCGGCCACAUUGGGACUGAGAUACGGCCCAGACGCCUACGGGAGGCAGCAGUGGGGAAUAUUGCACAAUGGGCGGAAGCCGGAUGCAGCAGCGCCGCGUGCUGGAUGACGGCCUUCGGGUUGUAAACCGCUUUCGCCUGUGACGAAGCGUGAGUGACGGUAAUGGGUAAAGAAGCACCGGCUAACUACGUG
rnacentral:rRNA from 1 species